AGCGAACGCUGGCGGCAGGCCUAACACAUGCAAGUCGAACGAAGUCUUCGGACUUAGUGGCGGACGGGUGAGUAACACGUGGGAACGUGCCUUUAGGUUCGGAAUAACUCAGGGAAACUUGUGCUAAUACCGAAUGUGCCCUUCGGGGGAAAGAUUUAUCACCUUUAGAGCGGCCCGCGUCUGAUUAGCUAGUUGGUGAGGUAAAGGCUCACCAAGGCGACGAUCAGUAGCUGGUCUGAGAGGAUGAUCAGCCACAUUGGGACUGAGACACGGCCCAAACUCCUACGGGAGGCAGCAGUGGGGAAUCUUGCGCAAUGGGCGAAAGCUUGACGCAGCCAUGCCGCGUGAAUGAUGAAGGUCUUAGGAUUGUAAAGUUCUUUCACCGGGGACGAUAAUGACGGUACCCGGAGAAGAAGCCCCGGCUAACUUCGUGCCAGCCGCCGCAGUAACAC
rnacentral:rRNA from 1 species